UACGUAGGGUGCAAGCGUUGUCCGGAAUUACUGGGCGUAAAGUGUGCGCAGGCGGCCGCGCAAGUCGAGUGUGAAAGCCCCGAGCUUAACUUGGGAAUUGCGCUCGAAACUACGUGGCUGGAGUGUGGCAGAGGAAGGUGGAAUUCCACGUGUAGCGGUGAAAUGCGUAGAGAUGUGGAGGAACACCGAUGGCGAAGGCAGCCUUCUGGGCCAACACUGACGCUCAUGCACGAAAGCGUGGGGAGCAAACAGG
rnacentral:rRNA from 1 species